rnacentral:rRNA from 1 species
GACAGAGGGGGCAAGCGUUGCUCGGAAUUACUGGGCGUAAAGGGCGCGUAGGCGGAAUGGCAAGUCGGUCGUGAAAUCCUUCGGCUCAACCGAAGAACGUCGAUCGAAACUGCCGUUCUUGAGGAUUGCAGAGGAGACUGGAAUUCCACGUGUAGCGGUGAAAUGCGUAGAGAUGUGGAGGAACACCAGUGGCGAAGGCGACUCUUUGGCCUGUAACUGACGCUGAGGCGCGAAAGCGUGGGGAGCAAACAGG